rnacentral:rRNA from 1 species
AUAACGGGUCGAAAGACUCGCUAAUACCGCAUAUGACGAAAGUUGAAAGGAGUAAUCCGUCUAAAGAUGAGCCCGCGUCCGAUUAGCUAGUUGGUAGAGUAAAAGCCUACCAAGGCGACGAUCGGUAGCUGGUCUGAGAGGAUGAUCAGCCACAAUGGACUGAGACACGGCCCAUACUCCUACGGGAGGCAGCAGUGGGAAUUUACGCAAUGGGCGAAAGCCUGACGUAGCGACACCGCGUGAGCGAAGAACGCCCCUUGGGGUGUAAAGCUCUGUCAGCUGGAACGAAAAAAUGACGGUACCAGCAGAGGAAGCAUCGGCUAACUACGUG